AUGUAGCUUAUUUAAAGCAAAGCACUGAAAAUGCUUAGAUGGAUGCAAGCAUCCCAUAAACA
rnacentral:tRNA from 1 species